rnacentral:rRNA from 1 species
GUCGUCAGCUCGUGUCGUGAGAUGUUGGGUUAAGUCCCGCAACGAGCGCAACCCUUAAGCUUAGUUGCCAUCAUUAAGUUGGGCACUCUAAGUUGACUGCCGGUGACAAACCGGAGGAAGGUGGGGAUGACGUCAAAUCAUCAUGCCCCUUAUGAUUUGGGCUACACACGUGCUACAAUGGACAAUACAAAGGGCAGCGAAACCGCGAGGUCAAGCAAAUCCCAUAAAGUUGUUCUCAGUUCGGAUUGUAGUCUGCAACUCGACUACAUGAAGCUGGAAUCGCUAGUAAUCGUAGAUCAGCAUGCUACGGUGAAUACGUUCCCGGGUCUUGUACACACCGCCCGUCACACCACGAGAGUUUGUAACACCCGAAGCCGGUGGAGUAACCAUUUGGAGCUAGCCGUCGAAGGUGGGACAAAUGAUUGGGGUGAAGUCGUAACAAGGUAGCCGUAUCGGAAGGUGCGGCUGGAUCACCUCCUUUCUAAGGA